GACCCCAUCGUCUAGAGGCCUAGGACACCGGGUUUUCAUCCCGGCAACAGGGGUUCGAAUCCCCUUGGGGUUGCCA
rnacentral:tRNA from 1 species